GUUGAAAGAUGCAAUCGAGAGGAAAGUUAGGGGUGGCACGCUAAAGCUUUUUAUAAGAAGGGAUGAUCGAUACUUAGACCUGAGGAUGGGAAGGCGACCGAAGGGAGAGAAGGAAGUCUAAAAGAUAGCAAGACCAAAGAAGGGAGAGGAAUAAGUCUGAUGACGAAUACCCGAUUGGUGUAAUAAAUGUGAUCACUAGUGGCCCAUCCAUAAUUAAGGGAGAGAAAAAGAGAGACUAGGCUCUCGAUGGGUCAAUAAAAAUAAUGGCAAUCGAAUAGUUAUGCCAGUCUCCCAUCACCUCUAGUCCUAAAGACGACAAGGUCAGCCGCCCACAUUCCAACCACUUGGUAAUUAAUGCCAAGUUUAACAAGUACGAAGUGAGAAGAGUCUUGGUAGACACUGAAAGCUUGGUUAACCUCCUCACUUUGGAUGUGUAUGAGAAGUUAGGGUUUCAAGUAAAAAAUCUAUCCAAGGUCCCUUACCCAUUAGUCAGUUUGGGUGACAAGUCAAUACCAGUAGUAGGGACAACCAACAUCAUGGUAGUACUAGGAGAUGAGAAGCAUAAGUGGGAACUAUAUGCUGAGUUUGUUGUGGUGAACAUCCCAUUUUCUUACAAUGCCAUCCUCCGGAGACCAAUAUUGAGUGAUUAUGGAAUAACAAUCAAUAUAGGAAUGUUAUACCUUAAAUUACCUAUAACCAGGGGAAUAGCAAUUUGUAGAGGAAGUCAGAAGUCAGCAUAAUAAUGCUAUAGACAAUCAACCAAGCCGGUCGACCAAAUGACUCUUCCCAUCGAGUUAUUAGAGCAACUAGAAAAAGCCUCUCCCAAGCCAGCCGACACAAUACAAAUUCUAGAAUUGGAAGAGGGAGAGAAAGUCAGGAUGGGAACAGCUUUGGAAGGGCAAGCCAAAGAAGAUGUGAUUCGAACUCUGACACAGAGAAUUCAAACUUUUGCUUGGAACCUAGAAGAAGUAAAGGGUGUUGAUCCAUUGGUCAUGACUCGCAAAUUGAAUGUCAAUCCUAAUGUUAAACCAUUCCAAUAGAAAAAGAGGAAAUUUGUCCCAAAUAGAUAGAAGGCACUAGCAGAAAAAGUUAAAAAACUAAAAGAUGCCAAUUUACUCUUUGAAGUUCAAUGCCUAACCUAGGUUGCUAAUGUUGUCCUUG
rnacentral:misc_RNA from 1 species